rnacentral:rRNA from 1 species
AUGACGCCCAAGAAACAAAUCCAAAAACGGAUGAAGAAAUCAAGAGAGAUCAUAGAAACGCCAUGCGGAGAGCUUCUUAUCGGAGGAACAAGGAUAAGCUUCUCGAAGAGGGAAACAAACGUCCACUUUCAUCAUCAAGAAAUAUUGCAGGAGGAAGCAACAUUUACCCCUUCAACAUUAGACAUGUCUGGCGUCAAUCAUGAUAAUGAUCUUGCUAGGAGGAAACGUGAUAAUGAGCGGAAAUGUAAUUUAACAAACGAGCAAAGGGAGCAGAUAAACGAACGUAGCCGAGCUUCUUAUCAGAAGAAAAAGGAGGAAGUAACGGUUGAUGUGAGACAAAAACAGAAUGAAAAAGUACGAGAGAAGAGGAUGGAUCGCCGGAAAAGCAUGUCAGUAAUUGAAAGGGGGGAGUCAAGUGCUCAAAGGAAGGCCAAUUAUGCCAGAAGGAAAAACACCCCGUGCAACGAAUCCAUCGCUAUCCCCCGUCCAGACCUGGGAAACUCAACCUCUCAAUGUCCGGCAUUCACCUGCCGCACAUCACCCGUCUCUCGGGCCAGAGGAGAUGAUUCAUCUGAUGGCGACCCUCCGACGAACAUGCCGAAUUACACUGUCCGUACCGAUGAAGACAUCGAUGUAUUCCUAAGCGACAUCAUGGGCGAUGAGCCGACAGGUCCCAAUUUGAUGGACGAGGAGUACUACAUGUUUCGCAACCAAGGAUCCGAUAAUGACAGCAUGGAUGAUGAGAGCGAAGCAACCAUGACUGGUGGUAAUCCUAGCGAGAUUGAUCCAUUUGACUUUGUCUACUCAAACAUUCCAGACAACACUCACAUCCUGAAACUCGCCGCAAACUGUGAACACUGCAAGGCCAGAAAAUUUGAGUCUGAGACUGACGGGUUCUGCUGUCGCAAUGGCCAGAUCGAACUUAAGCAACCGGAACCAGUCCCAGAGUUGAUGAGGCUAUGGUCCAGCAUGGAUGCAGAUUCUAGACAUUUUCGGGAGAACAUACGGUUCUUCAACGGGCAUUUUGCCUUCACAACCCUUGGCGACAGCCUUGAUGAAAACUACACAAACAUGAAGUCUGGGGUGUACACAUUCCGGGCACACGGCACCAUCUACCACAAUGUGCAUUCGUUCGGGCCUAGCUCCCGUCCUGAACAUCUGCAGUUGUACUUCUAUGAUGACGACCCAAACCUUAAUCAUCGUAAGGCAGCGACCAAUCAAUUAGACCAGGAUGUCGUGAAGAUGUUAGUAGACAUACUCAAAGAAAACCCAUACUCCCAGCAAUUUAGGAGUUUGGGUGCACACAAGGACAACCUCGAUGAUUAUAGGAUAGACCUAAACACCGAUAAGAGGCUUGACCAAAGAAGAUAUAAUAGACCGCUGUCAACUGAGGUUGCUGCAAUUUGGGUUGAGGGCAGUGACCUAGCCAAAAGGUUUGACAGGAGGAUAACGCUUUGUGGUAACAACAACGAAAGGCACAGUAUACGUGUGACCUCCGGAGCAUAUGAUCCGUUGUCUUAUCCCCUAUUCUAUCCAAGGGGGGAGCUAGGUUGGCACCCAAAGCUACCUAAACGUAAUGUUCCAUGGGAGGUUGUACAACAUCCUCAACUGGGCCAUGAUGAUGAGGAGGAUGCAGAGGGGAAUAGCAGGUUAUGCGUCUCCGUUAGAGACUACUACUGUUACAUGUUGCAAACACGGCCUGCGAUCUUCAAUCCCAUACUCUGUGGAGCACGCCUGCUGCAGCAAUGGGCGGUCGACAUGUACAUCAAGAUUGAGAGUUGUCGGUUGAGGUGGUACAGGAAGAACCAGACGCAGAUUCGUGUCGACUUGUAUAAAGGAGUUGUUGAUGCGAUCACAUCGGGGGAGACGAGAGCAAGCGCUGUUGGCACCCGAAUAGUUCUCCCUGGAACAUACCCUGGUGGCGACCGCGACAUGAAGAAGAGGCAUAUGGAUGCCAUGGCAAUUGUCCAUACAUACGGGAAGCCUGACAUCUUCUUGACCAUGACUUGCAACCCUAAAUGGGAAGAGAUAACAAAUGAGUUGCUUCCUGGUCAGACGGCGCAAGACCGACCUGAUAUUGUGGCUCGCGUGUUCUACGGCAAACUAGAGGCUAUGAAAUACAUGUUGUUCAAGAAGCAUAUCCUGGGUGUUGUGGUCGCUUACGUUUACGUAGUCGAGUUCCAAAAGAGGGGCCUCCCCCAUGCACAUUUUCUGUUGAUCAUGGAUUCAACAUAUAAGCUUGUCGUCCCGGAGCAGUAUGACCGACUAAUUUCCGCAGAGCUCCCAAACAAGCAGAAGUAUCCGGAAUUGCAUGCAUUGGUGGUAAAACAUAUGAUGCACGGACCCUGCGGUGCUCUCAACCCGAAGAAUGUUUGCAUGCAAGAUAACGAAUGCAAGUGCAGAUACCCGCGCCUGUUCAAUGAGAACACAGCACAAGGCAAGGACUCAUACCCAGUUUAUCGGCGUAGAGACGAUGGAAGCUGUGCUAAGGUCCGAGGGAAAAUGUUGGACAACAGAUGGGUUGUGCCUUAUAACCCUUACCUUCUGCGGAUGUUCAAUUGCCACAUCAACGUUGAGGUCUGCUCUAGCAUAAAGGCCGUCAAAUAUCUUUACAAGUACAUUUACAAGGGCCAUGAUAAGGCUUCUUUCAGCAUCGACCAGCCCGAUGCCAAUGGUAACAUCGAUGAGAUCAAGAGAUACGUUGACGCAAGGUGGGUCACCCCUCCGAAGGCUAUGUGGAGGAUAUUUGGCUUCCCACUUUGCGCCAAUUACCCGCCUGUCUUGCAGUUGCCUCUUCAUCUCCCAAAUAUGCACAGGGUUGCAUUCAAU